rnacentral:lncRNA from 1 species
CCAGGACGAGGGUUGGACAAAGAACUUUCUUGUCAUGCCGUGUUUUUCAUUUGCAUGCAUUUGCAUUUUCGAAAAUAUGAAGUUUGCAGUACUAUAAGAUAUUGGUCUUCAACCAAAUGCUUUAACUGCAGUUCUAGCCACGAAGGCAUCUACAAAAUAUUCAUGUACACCAUAAUUAUGCAACAAUAAGAUCACAACUCCAUCACUCUCAUCAAUUUAGGCUAAGUUCUGUAAUUAGAUUAUUGAUUUUUUAAAUUUUUUGGUAGUAGGUUAUGUUCUUCAAGUACUUCUGAUUCAGAGCUGAUUUGGUGACAACCAAUUCAGUGUCUAGAAAAAACUCUAGCCUCUGCGGUAGCGGCCCCUGGCCGCUAGUUUGUGGAAUGAGAAUGUCCCAUUGAUUUUCAUAUCCACAUGAUUCUCCUAUAUUAUUUUAGUAGUAUUGGU